UACCGAGGUCUCAAGCGUUGUUCGGAUUCAUUGGGCGUAAAGGGUGCGUAGGCGGCGCGGUAAGUCGGGUGUGAAAUCUCGGAGCUUAACUCCGAAACUGCAUUAGAUACUGCCGUGCUUGAGGACUGGAGAGGAGACUGGAAUUUACGGUGUAGCGGUGGAAUGCGUAGAGAUCCGGAAGAACACCAGUGGCGAAGGCGGCCCGCCGGGAAGUGGCUGACGCUGAAGCGCGACAGCGUGGGGAGCAAACAGG
rnacentral:rRNA from 1 species